rnacentral:rRNA from 1 species
UUCGAUUAGAGUUUGAUCAUGGCUCACAACGUACGCUGGCGGCACGCCUAACACAUGCAAGUCGAACGAAGUAGCAAUACUUAGUGGCAGACGGGUGAGUAACAUGUGGGUAUCUGCCCUUUGGCCUGGAAUAACACGAGGAAACUUGUGCUAAUACUGGAUAAGUCUUUACGGAGAAAGCUUUAUGCACCAUUGGAUGAGCCCGCACUUGAUUAGUUUGUUGGUGGGGUAAUGGCCUACCAAGACUUUGAUCAAUAGCUGAUUUGAGAGGAUGAUCAGCCACAUUGGGACUGAGACACGGCCCAAACUCCUACGGGAGGCAGCAGUGGGGAAUCUUGCACAAUGGAGGAAACUCUGAUGCAGCGAUGCCGCGUGAGUGAAGAAGGCCUUUGGGUUGUAAAGCUCUUUCGUCGGGGAAGAAAAUGACUGUACCCGAAUAAGAAGGUCCGGCUAACUUCGUGCCAGCAGCCGCGGUAAUACGAAGGGACCUAGCGUAGUUCGGAAUUACUGGGCUUAAAGAGUUCGUAGGUGGUUGAAAAAGUUGGUGGUGAAAUCCCAGAGCUUAACUCUGGAACUGCCAUCAAAACUUUUCAGCUAGAGUUUGAUAGAGGAAAGCAGAAUUUCUAGUGUAGAGGUGAAAUUCGUAGAUAUUAGAAAGAAUACCAAUUGCGAAGGCAGCUUUCUGGAUCAUUACUGACACUGAGGAACGAAAGCAUGGGUAGCGAAGAGGAUUAGAUACCCUCGUAGUCCAUGCCGUAAACGAUGUGUGUUAGACGUUGGAAAUUUAUUUUCAGUGUCGCAGCGAAAGCGAUAAACACACCGCCUGGGGAGUACGACCGCAAGGUUAAAACUCAAAUGAAUUGACGGGGACCCGCACAAGUAGUGGAGCAUGUGGUUUAAUUCGAAGAUACGCGCAGAACCUUACCAACACUUGACAUGUUCGUCGCGACUUUAAGAGAUUAAAGUUUUCGGUUCGGCCGGACGAAACACAGGUGCUGCAUGGCUGUCGUCAGCUCGUGUCGUGAGAUGUUGGGUUAAGUCCCGCAACGAGCGCAACCCUCACUUUUAGUUGCCAUCAUUUAGUUGGGCACUCUGAAAGAACUGCCAGUGAUAAGCUGGAGGAAGGUGGGGAUGACGUCAAGUCCUCAUGGCCCUUACGUGUUGGGCUACACACGUGCUACAAUGGUAUCUACAACAGGAAGCGAAACAGCGAUGUUAAGCAAAUCCUUAAAAGAUACCUCAGUUCGGAUUGCACUCUGCAACUCGAGUGCAUGAAGCUGGAAUUACUAGUAAUCGUGGAUCAGCGUGCCACGGUGAAUGCGUUCCGCGGGUCUUGUACACACCGCCCG